AAUGAACGCUGGCGGCGUGCUUAACACAUGCAAGUCGAACGAGAAAGCCUUGGCUUGCCAGGGCGAGUAAAGUGGCGCACGGGUGAGUAACGCGUGGGUAAUCUACCCUUGAAUUCGGGAUAACCCUUCGAAAGGGGGGCUAAUACCGGAUAACAUCCGAUUGACCUUGGUUGAUUGGAUCAAAGAAGGCCUCUACAUGUAAGCUUUUGUUUGGGGAUGAGCCCGCGUACCAUUAGCUAGUUGGUAGGGUAACGGCCUACCAAGGCGACGAUGGUUAGCUGGUCUGAGAGGAUGAUCAGCCACACUGGAACGGACACACGGUCCAGACUCCUACGGGAGGCAGCAGUGAGGAAUUUUGCGCAAUGGGGGAAACCCUGACGCAGCAACGCCGCGUGAGUGAUGAAGGCCUUCGGGUCGUAAAGCACUUUCGACCGGGACGAAAAACCUUUGGCUAACAUCCAGGGGCCUGACGGUACCGGGAGAAGAAGCACCGGCUAACUCUGUGCCAGCAGCCGCGGUAAAAC
rnacentral:rRNA from 1 species